GACGAACGCUGGCGGCGUGCUUAACACAUGCAAGUCGAGCGGUAAGGCCUUUCGGGGUACACGAGCGGCGAACGGGUGAGUAACACGUGGGUGAUCUGCCCUGCACUUCGGGAUAAGCCUGGGAAACUGGGUCUAAUACCGGAUAUGACCUCCUAUCGCAUGGUGGGUGGUGGAAAGAUUUAUCGGUGCAGGAUGGGCCCGCGGCCUAUCAGCUUGUUGGUGGGGUAAUGGCCUACCAAGGCGACGACGGGUAGCCGACCUGAGAGGGUGACCGGUCACACUGGGACUGAGACACGGCCCAGACUCCUACGGGAGGCAGCAGUGGGGAAUAUUGCACAAUGGGCGAAAGCCUGAUGCAGCGACGCCGCGUGAGGGAUGACGGCCUUCGGGUUGUAAACCUCUUUCAGCAGGGACGAAGCGCAAGUGACGGUACCUGCAGAAGAAGCACCGGCUAACUACGUG
rnacentral:rRNA from 1 species